AGAGAAUAGAUACCCGGGUAGUCCACGCCCUAAACGAUGUCGACUGGUUGUUGGGGGUUUGACACUCUCAGUAAACGAAAGCUAAACGCGUGAAGUCGACCGCCUGGGGAGUACGGCCGCAAGGUUAAACUCAAAGGAAUUGACGGGGACCCGCACAAGCGGUGGAUUAUGUGGAUUAAUUCGAUGCAACGCGAAAAACCUUACCUACCCUUGACAUGUCCGGAAGGCUGCUGAAAGGCGGCUGUGCCCGAAAGGGAACUGGAACACAGGUGCUGCAUGGCUGUCGUCAGCUCGUGUCGUGAGAUGUUGGGUUAAGUCCCGCAACGAGCGCAACCCUUGUCAUUAGUUGCUACCCGCAAGGGAGCACUCUAAUGAGACUGCCGGUGACAAACCGGAGGAAGGUGGGGAUGACGUCAAGUCCUCAUGGCCCUUAUGGGUAGGGCUUCACA
rnacentral:rRNA from 1 species